CAAUGAAUUGUCGGCUCAUGAUCGGGUUUAACAAAACUGUAGAGAGCUGUUACAGUGUUCAGGUAUACAGAUGAUUAUUUAAUUUUAAUUGACAAGUCACGCGCUCACUUCUUUGCGCUGUG
rnacentral:lncRNA from 1 species